GUAUUUUUAAGGAAGGUACAAGAAUAUCGGCAAUCACAGGAUGCGGGGUGAGGUAAUCAGCGGGGGGCAAGAGGGUGACAGCUGGCAAGCCAGCGAGCUAGCUGGUUUGUUUACGUGAUUUCCCCUCAACUCGUUUCUAUAGGGAUGUUUAUGUUGUUGCAAAUUAGUGUGUGAAGCUCAAGAAUAAGGCAAGUGAACCCGAGAAUGAACCUAAAUGUUUAUCUCCUUUUCAUUUCAUUUUUUUACCAGGUACCUUCGUUGUGUGCGGUGGAGGGCCAAAUAAGAAACAUCACGCCGUAGUUAUCGACCGGUUCCCAAGUGCCAUCGAAAAAUACCGAAGCUUGGUUUCCUUUUGCGGACGCAGUGACGGCUGGAUUCGCCAAAGAAUCAGAGGAUCUGCUCGAUUUCUCCCUGCAGCCGCUAUGACGAAGGAUUUCGUAUACGGCUAAAGGAAUUGGAAUAAAAAUGUGUCACCAGUUGUAGGGGUAGGCGGGGCAUUAUGGACACCCUAAGGUUUUUGCCAACUUUACCUGGCAAGAUGUCAAAAAAGUUUAGUUUUUUGAUACAUGUAUCCUUUUAAAGUCUAUUUAGCAUCUAUUGCAUAAGAAUGCUCACGAAGAAAAAUGAUUUAUCCACUUCAAAAAAUGUUGCGAAAAAUGUUAGUUUUUCAUGACCGUCUUCAAGCAUACGGGGCAGAAUGGUCACCCCCAUGGGGCAAUAUGGACACCAUGAGACUUUUACGAAUUUCGUACAUUAUUUACACCUAUAAAGUGAGUGUCCAUUUUGCCCCGGCAGCAGAAGAUAUUUCCAAACUUAAUUUUUGAUAUAAUAAAGAAGAAAAUAUAAACAUGUUAAGCAUGUAGAUACAGCAAAACUACUUGCAUGUGUUCUAGAAAUAUCAGGUUUUAAUCGACCUGCAAUAAAUUAAUCACUAAAUCUUAUUUUAGAUGGUGUAAAAAUUAUAA